AUGUCAUGUUGCUUUCAAUGAGCCCAUUUAUCAGUCUGAACUGAAGGGCAGAUGACAAUUACCUGCUUCUACAUGUCCACCCUUGAACACUGAAAAAGUCUAGAGGGAGCCCAACUCAGCAGAAGUAAGCCAGCAAAAACUAUAAUAUUUCCUCCCACUCCGGAAAAUAACAAUCUUCCACAGCAGUGUCCUCUGUGCUUCAGAAAAUCAGCUCACAGAUGCUCCCCCUGCAGAUGCCCAGGACCCUGGGUAGAGCCCGGGGACUGCUGGUGAUACCCUCAUGUUGAGAAUGAGGUGAAGAAUUCAGUGUCACCUGGGAACCCAAGUUGUGCCCUGUCCACGGAGGGUGGGGUUGGCAGAGCAUCUGUGCGCCCACUCUUGUCCUUGGCCUGUGAUUUUCACAAGAGGUGGCCAGAGAUCACAGAGUGGAUGCAGCAUUCAUGAGAGUUUCCAAGGAAAAGACCUCAGGAUGAGGAGGAAUGGCCGAUGUGUCUGUUGGAGCAAGGAUACGGUUGGCCCUGUAGGUGCAGCAGGCAGCAGGCCUGCCUAAGAAGGUGUGUGAACGGAACAGCAAACACAAGCACCGUGCAGAAAACACACUUGCGGGACAUGGCCAUCCGGAAGCGCUGAGGGAUGGGAAGGGGGAGCAGCCGCUCCCAAGGCCUCAAAACAUGCUUCCCCUCAGCGUGGUGACCUGUGCCCUGGAGGCGACCUUAACCAGGUGACCGUGUCCUUCUGCUGGGUCUGGGAUAACUGGGCACCAACUUUAACGGCUCAGAGAAAGAUUGGAACUCUUGGCACCCUUGUUUGGAAUGUCUUCCAAGUAGCUAAGGGUGAAUUUUCUUCAAUGAAAUAUAUUAAUUUAUAAGAAGGAAAGAUCAAAAAGCAUACAUUGUUUACAGAACCUUGAAGCAUUUGUGUUUCAACCAGCUCAGCAUUAGAAAGGAAUUUAUCUAAAAUGGGAAAUCACAUUUGGAAACAUUUAAACAACCGCUUCUGGGUCUGGAGAGGCGAUCUGUCGCAGCACGCGUCUGCAGGAACCCUGGUUCUGGAAAGGUUCACCAUGGAUCUGGUCCUGUUAGCGUUUCUGUGGGACACAGGGCUGGGAUCAGAGCAACAAUCACCUUUACAACUCAAGAGUCCCUGUGGGAAGAUGAGCUGCUUGAAUCAAGAGGUUGUAACCAGAGCUCCUUGCCCUCCAGCAUGGCCUCACCCGGCUGCCUGCACAGAGUCCACCUGGUCUUCCACCCAUUGGCAUUGGUACCAAAUGCCUGUCUCCAUGCUGUUCCUCCUCUCACUGAUGCCUCAUGGGGCAGGGACAGAGCAUCCCAGACCGCCCCCUAGUCAGGUAGGUGUUGUGUCACACAGGACGUGGGCAACAACAGCACAGGCCACAGAAGGCCUGGUGAUGGAGCCAGAGUGCAACUGA
rnacentral:lncRNA from 1 species